GACUACAGCCAUGCCACCCUGAACAUGCCAGAUCCCAUUUGAUCUUGGAAGCUAAGCAGGGUCAGGUCUGGUUAGUACUUGAAUGGGAGACCACCUAGGAACACCCGGUGCUGUAGUGG
rnacentral:rRNA from 1 species